rnacentral:rRNA from 1 species
CAGUAGCCGCGGUAAUACGGAGGGAGCUAGCGUUGUUCGGAAUCACUGGGCGUAAAGCGCACGUAGGCGGCUAUUCAAGUCAGGGGUGAAAGCCCGGGGCUCAACCCCGGAACUGCCUUUGAAACUAGAUAGCUUGAAUCUUGGAGGGGCGAGUGGAAUUCCGAGUGUAGAGGUGAAAUUCGUAGAUAUUCGGAAGAACACCAGUGGCGAAGGCGACUCGCUGGACAAGUAUUGACGCUGAGGUGCGAAAGCGUGGGGAGCAAACAGGAUUAGAUACCCCGGUAGUCCCUGUCUCUUAUAC